CUAAACUCGCAGAGUUGACGUGGAAUCGUCCCCCAACGGGAGGGCAGCGUGCAGGCGGGUGGGUGAUGCAGAGAGAAUCUGAGCUCCAUCUGGAAGCAGAGCUCAGAGUCUACUCGCAGGAACAGAUGGGUGAACAGACCACUGUGAUGUCUGCUUGAUAACAAGCUUGCAAGAUUUAACCUUUCUGCGAAAUGAAACCUCUUGGGCCUCCAGUUCUCACUCUUCAGAUACAGAGGAUGUGAGUUGCACCCUGAGCCCUCUCGCUCUCAGCUGAGAGAAGCGUGCUUCGCUAGGUUUACUUGCAACUGACAUGUUUUCUGGUGAAGAAAAUCAUGAUGGCAAAGUCUGUGCAGAGGCACGACACUGAAGAGUCUGAAAUGACACCCGAUUUUGAGAAGGAAAGGUAUGAGGACAGAAGGUCAGGCAAAUGGAAAGGGUCAUGGAUAGGGCACUGGAGACCCGAGUCUGAGCACUUCUGCCUCUUCGGAGGAGGAAUUCCAAAUUGGCCAACUGGAGGCAUUGAAAUAAGUCCCAGAAAAAAUGGGGUGGGGUUGGCUUGAGAAAAUAGAGUACCUUGAACGGAAGAAGGGAUGUUCUGCUUUAACAGAACUAGAGCUGAGUAAAGAAAGUGGAGUGAAAUUAUAAUGGUGAUGGAGCACCUGGUUGGCUGAGUUGGUUAAACGUCCGACUGUUGGUUUCAGCUCGGGUCAUGAUCUUGCAGUUCGUGAGUUCAAGUCCUCCAUCAGGCUCUGCACUGACAGCACAGAGCCUGCUUGGGAUUCUCUCUCUCCCUCUCUU